GAAACAAAUAUAAAAAUCAUAUUUGGCUCUACAAAGUUAAUCAUUUUAAAUAUAUUUAAAGAGGACUUGCGAUGCACCAAGCAAGUUCUGAGUUGUAGGAUAUAAUUAUUAACAGGACAGACUUAGUCUUUGUUCUUGAAACGCAUACCUGGAAUAGAGACAGACAAUAAACAAUGACCAAUGUGAUGGAUAUUUACAAAGGGACAGCGCAAUGUGCAAUAGAAGUGUUCUAGGUCAUUUGGAAAUGAAUGGUUCUACUAAUGUCAGUUUUAAAACUGAAAUUGGCCCUUUCAAACCAUAAAAUCUAGUUAUUUUUCACUUCCUUGUUGGUGAAGUGAACCAACAAAGUGGUCUUCUUUUAACUGCUUAAACAUAUCGUAUACUGGCCAGCCAUAGGAUUUGAGAUGACCCUUGGGUUUGGCAAGAUGGAGGUUAUGUGGUUAUGUUAGUUUGGGUUGUCCAGGAAAUAGAUGCUAAGACAGAGUUAGAAGCAUAAGAGACUUAUUGGCAAUAACAUUUGUGAAAAUUAAAGGGGAGGGAAGUCAGCCGGGAAAGCCUUCAGACUGUAAUGAAAGGAAGAAAGAAGGAUCAGGCAGGAAGAGCCUCAGACUGAGGUGCAGCUGAGAAAGUUUUGGCCAGCCUUGUGUGGAGCUCCAGCACAGAGACUUCCCAUUGAGGAUUUCCACACCGGACAGAGAAGAUGAGUCCUUGGACUGCGGCAGUGCUCUGUUACGCACUGCAGGCUCCUACCCUGUGCUCAUGCCAUCUUCCGCAGGAGUUCCUCACUUCUGUCAGGAGACCCUCUCUCUACAAAGCUCCCUUGGGCUUUGGUAAUUAUCCUUCUUGCUCCUUCAGGCACCCUAUUGAUGAUAGCGUUGGGGUACUUCACAACCCACUGUUGUUUCCUUGCCCCUACCCACAGCCUUGAAGAGUGCCUUUAUACACAUUUCCCCAAAUCACCCAAUUUAAAUGUGCCAUUUGCUUCUGCUAGAACCCUGAUUCUUUUGGAGUCACUGGUGACUAAGAAGAGAGUAUUUUCCUUGGAAAUGGUAGAAGCAAAUAGCUGACUGGAGUGGGUUCAAGAAAGAAUGGGAAAUGGCAAGAGGGAGGCAUGAGAAUAAGCAACUCACUUGAGGGGAUUUCCUUGCAAGGGAAGACAGAAUAAUGGGCAAGUGGUGAAGAGAGGCCUGGGGAAGGGUUUUGCUUUUCUUUUUGGAUAAGCUAUACUAUGGUGUUUGCAUGCAGAUGAGAAUGAUCUAUAAGAAAGAGAAGUUUAUUCUACAGGAGUUGCUUGGAGAAGCAAAGUCGUUGAGCAGCUCAGAGUUGAUGGAAUCUAGAGCACAGCUGACCACAGUGACAAGAUAGGGUGCCCAGAGCAACCAGAUAGAGGGCAGAAUUUAGGGGUAGGUUGAGAAUGGCAAGAUUAAGUUGUCUGCUUCUGACCGCUUCUACUUUCUCAGUAAAAUAGCAAACAAAAUCAUCAGGAGUGGAGAUAGUGUGAUGGCAUUUGAGAAGAAAAUGGGGUCAAACUGUGGACGAUGAAUGGAUUGAAGGAAUGUUAUCAGACAGCAGGGCCCACUUGAGAUUUGGGGCCAUACAUUUAAAGUAAGACUAGUAAGCAGAGCCACAUAAUUUUCUCCAGUCACAUCUCCCUGUUUGGAUACAGGUGUGGAGAAGGCACAGUUAGGUUUUGCCAGGCCAGUAUGACAAAGGAUGUGGAGGAUGUGCGUGGUUGAGGGCAGGGAUGAUGAAGUGAAGGCUGUGAGAUGGUGGUCAUGCUUGUUAUACUGUCACCCUCUGCCCCGAGAGUCCACCCUUUUCUUCUGUGAGAGGCAAAUGUCUGCAGACUGCAUUACUGUCACUAUACACCAAACCUUGCCCUUGACUUCCUGUUGGAAUAGGACUGGAAGUCUGUGGAAGACACUGGCCAAAAAUCAGAGACUUUUGGGUACUUAUUUAUACUCCCAUCCUUCCUUGCCUUACUAUGGUUCCGACAGUGGCUAUGUUUGUUCUCCUGUGGCCACUGCCUGUGUCAGGUAGAUUUUCUGUUACUGUUUCAGCUCUAAGGGGGCUCCAGGGAGCUCAUUCCCUCCCCUACCACUUCAGGCUGUUGGUUGUAAUAGCUUCCCAUGCUCCUACUCCCUGGAUACUUCACCAUCCCUUGUUGGUUCCUUCAACCUGUUACUCUUCUGUGAAUAGGUCCUUCAUUAAACUCUCUCCAGCUAAACACUUUUGAGUGAGUCAUCUGUUUCUUGCCAGUUCUCUGUCAGAGAUGGAGGACAGGAAACUAGUGCUAGGGUCUCUGACUUGGAGGCACCUGUGGGGCUGAAGAAUUGUUGUGGAGGGUAGAUGGCUGAGGAGGAAGUAGUGAGAGAGUAGGUUCCUGGAAAUGACUUCACAGGUUGUGCAGUCACUGGCAAUGAGAUGCACAGGGUAAAAAGGUGGGAGUGGGUAGCUGAGGUGGAUGGAGGAGGAGAGCUUUGGGAGUGAGAAGUCAAGGGAGUAGGAGGCUAAGGUGCUUGGCACACACUUUACAUAGAUGCUAAAUCACCAAGAAUGACUGAAGAAGAGUGGACAGGGAGCCAGUGAGGGAGCUGGCCACUGACAUCUACUGUGAAUGAGGAAGAGCCUGAGAGACUGGCAGAUGAUUGCCAAAGGAGGGUAGUGGGUAGUGUAGUUUGAGGGCACGGACUUCCAGAAAAGCUGAGGUUUUUGAGCAAGGGAGAAUUGUUGUCAGCAGCAAUGAGGAUCAUGAAAGACACCCACUCCAUCCCUAGGCUCUGUGGUAUGUGGUGCGUUGGAGGGCAGAAAGAGCCACCUAUUGAGAAGGCUCUAGGGGAAGCAGCUUUCAGUUUUCAUUUAGAGCUGCCUCCAGGUUUCUGGGCAAGAAGGUGAAGAAAACAUUCGGAAAGAGGCAGGCCUGGCCCAGUACCCAGCACAAAGCAGACAAAGGUCCUCCUCAAGAAGAGCAACCCCAAGACACAUAAUCAUCAGAUUCACCAAGGUUGAAAUGAAGGAAAAAAUGUUAAGG